UACGGGGGGGGUAAGCGUUGUUCGGAAUUACUGGGCGUAAAGGGCUCGUAGGCGGCCAACUAAGUCGGAUGUGAAAUCCCCAGGCUCAACCUGGGAACUGCAUCCGAUACUGGAUGGCUUGGAUUCGGGAGAGGGAUGCAGAAUUCCAGGUGUAGCGGUGAAAUGCGUAGAUAUCUGGAGGAAUACCGGUGGCGAAGGCGGCAUCCUGGACCGACAUUGACGCUGAGACGCGAAAGCCAGGGGAGCGAACGGG
rnacentral:rRNA from 1 species